UACCAGCACCCCGAGUGGUCGGGACGUUUAUUGGGCCUAAAGCAUCCGUAGCCGGUUCUACAAGUCUUCCGUUAAAUCCAACUGCUUAACAGGUGGGCUGCGGAAGAUACUAUAGAGCUAGGAGGCGGGAGAGGCAAGCGGUACUCGAUGGGUAGGGGUAAAAUCCGUUGAUCCAUUGAAGACCACCAGUGGCGAAGGCGGCUUGCCAGAACGCGCUCGACGGUGAGGGAUGAAAGCUGGGGGAUCAAACCGG
rnacentral:rRNA from 1 species